rnacentral:rRNA from 1 species
GACGAACGCUGGCGGCGUGCCUAAUACAUGCAAGUAGAACGCUGAAGCUUGGUGCUUGCCCCGAGCGGAUGAGUUGCGAACGGGUGAGUAACGCGUAGGUAACCUGCCUGGUAGCGGGGGAUAACUAUUGGAAACGAUAGCUAAUACCGCAUAAGAGUAGAUGUUGCAUGACAUUUGCUUAAAAGGUGCAAUUGCAUCACUACCAGAUGGACCCGCGUUGUAUUAGCUAGUUGGUGAGGUAACGGCUCACCAAGGCAACGAUACAUAGCCGACCUGAGAGGGUGAUCGGCCACACUGGGACUGAGACACGGCCCAGACUCCUACGGGAGGCAGCAGUAGGGAAUCUUCGGCAAUGGACGGAAGUCUGACCGAGCAACGCCGCGGGAGUGAAGAAGGGUUUCGGAUCGUAAAGCUCUGUUGUAAGAGAAGAACGAGUGUGAGAGUGGAAAGUUCACACUGUGACGGUAGCUUACCAGAAAGGGACGGCUAACUACGUG